AGUACAGCUGUUGUUUCCAUCACAAUAGAUAAAGAAAUCAUCACUGGUAAGCAUUCAAUUUAUUCAUGAUCAGUCCUUGACAUAACUAGAUUGUAAAGUGCUUUCUUUCCCUUCUAAAAGUUCUAAGAAAUCUCAAGAAUCUAAUUUUAGGAUUUAAGGAGGACCCUUUAAUUGCAAUAUAUUGUGGUCAAAUGCCUAAGUGUACUUCAGAUUGUUUCGAGUACUUCAAAAACUACAAUCCCCUUUUCCUGGCUGGGUGGCGAUUACUCAAAUGUGUCUGUUUAUCAAUUUGUACUUAACUUUUAAUGGAAAGGCAAGAAAUUAUUUUAAGGCUGCAGAAAUUUAACUCAGAAAAGAGAAAGUAGUAAUUAAAGUUGGACUUGUUGCAACUCUUUGGUCACAAAGUGAUUUCUCUAUCUCUCGGCAACAUUUUCUGAAGGAGGGGAACCUGAUAUUUGAAUACUUUGUUGCUUCCACGAUGGAGUAAGCAUCUACCGAUGAGCUAGUGGCCAAUUUGCAAUCAAGUUUGUGUAUUUUAUUAUGUGGUGUCUGGAUUCAAAAAUAGGAAUUAGAUUGUUGAUAAUUGACGUUAUACUAUUGGAGACUUUGUGAUGCAAAACAUGUAGGAGGGAUUGAAUAAAGCUCCAGUGUUGACAUAUUAUAGUGGUGGAAGGCUUAAGUGAUGCUCUGGUGAAUUUUCAAAAGCCAAAGGGUGAGGUAGCACGUUUUGGAUUAUGGCGUAGCCAUUGGAAUCAAUAAAGACAAUCAGGAUUUGGGGACUGGUAAAGAAUCUAUGGCUAUGAGGUAUGUGAACAGAUCACGUGAGAACCAACCUGGUGCUGUCAUUUAGCCCUUUGUGUAUUUGUGGGCAUCACUUCUUUGCCUUUUACCUUGUAUGUUGUCCCAUUCAGAUCAAAUUGCAAGGAGACAUGGCCAAGAGAAAAUCCACAAUGAUUUGAAUUUGAACAUUCCAAGUAAAUCAAACCUGUUAACAAUAAGAGCUAAUAAUGGAAAUACUUAAUUGAAACUUGGAGAAUUGAUUAUGUUGCAAAACUGAUAGCAUUAGUUUUAGGGUUUGUAAAACUCUUUAACAGAAUAAUGGUUUGCUCUCUCCUGACCUUCAUGUGUUGGUUGAAAAUAUUUAUCCCUUGAUUGUUGGGCAAACAUGUAUUCUGGAGGAUGGAGGGGGAGAUCUAUUUCAAAACUGUAUACUUUUUACCCUUAAUGUUUUUUGUUUACCUUAGAAGAGGACUAACCCUCUUUCUCUUUCUCUCUCGAACAGAACAGGAAAAAAUUCUUUGUUUUUUGUGUGUUUCUGUAAAAUCUUUUUUAAUUAACUUGAAGUAAACAGUUAUCCUUGCUUUGCUUCCUGAGAAGGUAAAAGAAGGUACCGAAGGGAAAUCUUGACAGUUCUAGUCAAAGUUCAAGCAUAUACUUAUAUAGGUUAUAGUUUCGACAGUGUAAUCAUAAUCUUCUUCUUCUUUUCUUCCCUCCUUUCUACCUACAUUUUUUGGGCUUUCCAGCAUACUCAACAGCCUGCUUUUCAUAUUUGGUCAUGUAUUUUCUCAAUAAAUUAAUAUCCAUUUUCCAUACAUUUGUGUACCUAGGUGGGCAUGUGGAUAAUAGUAUAAAGCUAGUGUCAUCAGAUGGAGCCAAAACCUUAGAAACAGCCAUUGGG
rnacentral:misc_RNA from 1 species